rnacentral:rRNA from 1 species
GACGAACGCUGGCGGCGUGCUUAACACAUGCAAGUCGAACGGAAAGGCCCUGCCUUGGUGGGGUGCUCGAGUGGCGAACGGGUGAGUAACACGUGAGUAACCUGCCCUUGACUUUGGGAUAACCUCAGGAAACUGGGGCUAAUACCGGAUAGGAGCUCCUGCUGCAUGGUGGGGGGGGGAAAGUUUCGGUGGUUGGGGAUGGACUCGCGGCUUAUCAGCUUGUUGGUGGGGUGGUGGCUUACCAAGGCUUUGGCGGGUAGCCGGCCUGAGAGGGUGCGCGGCCAUAUUGGGACUGAGAUGCGGCCCAGUCCCCUCCGGGACGCAGCUGUGGAGUAUUGUGCACUGUGGGCGGGACCCAGGUGCAGCAACGCCGCGUGCGGUGUGACGGCUUGCGGUUUGUAAUCCUCUUUCGCCUGUCACGGAGCGUUAGUGACGGUAACGGGUGAAGAAGCACCGGCUAACUACGUG